rnacentral:lncRNA from 1 species
AUAUGCUAGUAACCAUGCUAGAAUAACAGCCACAGUCUGCUAUGACCUGAAUUGAACCAGAAAAUGCAGAGUGAAGGCAGGGGGAACACGGCUCGGGGUCCUCUCUGGUCAGGCCUGGAGCCAGCGCUUGUAAACUGUGGACUAUCACCCACUGUUGAGAGGCCUCCUUUCGGCAGACUUCAGCACAGGGAUGUGGACUUGUUUCUAUGAAAGCCUGGAAUUCCUGUAGGGGUAGUGCCGUAAAACCGGAUCUUUACCUUCCUUAUUUAAAGGACUUUUUUGCGCAUAGACUGCCUGUCCUGGCCUCUCUCCCACUCUGGAAAGGAAGGGCUGAGAGAGAAAAACACACUGGAGAUGCUGUUUUGGAUGGAAACACACUCGCUGCCUGUUUCCCUGUGUGCCCAUGGUUCUUCUAGGUGCUGGGAAUAGACGAGUGAGAUGCAGACAAGGCCCCAGUCCUCACGGCACUUAUGUGCUAUGAGGAAACAAGGAAUGCACAUACCCCAUCGAGGAGGUGUCAGUCCAUCUUCAUGAGCCAAAAGGUGACAUGUGCCAAGGAAACAGGAAUAGAGCCUUGAGUGAAGCAUCAGACCAGUACAGCCGACCUGGUGGGCCUUGGUGCAAAGGGAAUGGAGCAAAGACUGGGAGGUAAUGAGGGGAUUCCCCAGGUGCUCCCCUGGGAGAAGAGAAUUCUGCCCACAGGCCCUGCCACCAGCGAGGGCCUUGCGUGCCGUGGAGUGGGAGGAACCACAAGGUGAGAAGGGUCUGAGGAUGUGGGCAUGGAGGCAUUGCAAGGACUUUGAAUUUACUCUGAGAGAUGAGUAGUCACUGGGAGGUUUGCAGCCCAGACAACCCACACGGUCAUUUCAGGAAGCUUGAGAGAGACUCAGUAUGUGGGGCAGCGGGCCCCCGUUUGUGGGGGCCACAGCGCAAACGCACCUGAGCCUGGAGCUGCUGGAACUCCUCUCUCUGCAGCCAGAGACCCAGGCUCACUCCUGGGCCUCCAUUCCGCCUGCUGGAUCAGCAAAAAUGAAAUGACUAAAUGGGCUGUUGGAUUUCAAAGAAUUACAGCCCCACUCCAGUCCUUGAGAGAGAAGCAGAGGCCCUGUUCCCCUGCGUCUGUGUGGCCUGCUGCAAAUAACGGGCUGGGUUUAUGGCGAGGGGACGGCUGGGCGGUUGCUUGUCUAGAAACGCACCAUGUGGUCCCUGCCUCCUCCUGAGCCUCAAUGGCCGCCUGGGACAUAGAUAGCCAGACAUCGCCAAUUUCCAGGUUCAAAAUUAUAUUCCCCCAACGUGAGUUAAUCUUCCCAUGAAAGGAAGAAAUACUUUUCACUUCAUGUUACUCUCUCUACUUUUUUUUUAAAGCAUCAGAUCUUUUAUCUCUAGUAUGACUAUGGAUGAAAUAUCACCAGCUUCAUAUUUCAAGAUAAUUUCCCUUCCAGCAAACAUUCCCCUAGGAAUAAAGACAUGUAGUGCCCACACUGCUGGGCUGCUUUUUCCGCCUCUGUCUAAACAAGGCCCUGUGUGUUCCAUCUGCUUGUCGGUUCCCAGUGUGCACUGGUCACUGCUGGGCUGAAAGGUCUCGCUUUUAGCUUCCUAGAUAGGCCAGCGAGGUUAAUAAGUUAAUAAAAUCCUAUUUAUCAGACUCCGGAGUCCAUUUCCUCUUCCCCGUGGCUCAUGGUUGUAAUUAUUCUUUAUGGACUCUCGGUGUUCCUUUAGAUCUGAUUUCCUCGCACUCCCCUCCCAUUUCCUGAAAGCCACGCCACAGAAGGAGAGAGUGGUCUUUUCUCUGGAAAGAUGUCUGUUACUCAUUUCCACCUUGGUGUCACGAAAGCUAGUCUGAAGGGAUACGUUUAAAUAUUUAAAAUUUUAAGAUGCAUGUGGAACAGCCUGGGUUGCUUCUCCUCCUGAGCAGAUUAGGUUAGAAAGACCUGGGGGCCCCUGGAUAACCCGGCGUAGCUGUCCAGGAGUGCAGAGAUUGGGAACCAGAUCCUGGGCUCUUGGCAGCUUCAGCUUUAUCUGGAAAAUUGGAGCCAUCAUUUCGACCAUGCUCACAUAUGAAGAUAAAUGACAAUAGCUUGCGUGAAAGUGUUUUUGAAAACAACAAUAACAACAAAACACAGAAAAAGAAGGCAUGAUCUUGGCUGCUUUUGAUGUGACUGUUUCCCUUAGCAGGGUGCCAGGGAUAUGGGGAAUUUAGGCCAAAUUAGCCGGAGCUUCUCUUAUUAGCGAAGAUUCGCUUAUCAGGUUCCCUGCUGUCAGCUUGGAAGACCCAGAGUCUGACCCCGAAUAAUGAAAUAGAGGACAAAUGAAGAUUCUGUCUCUGAGCAGGACUCGGGAUGGGGAGCAGUGGGCCCCAGCUGGAGGGGCGCAGGUCAGGCUGUAGGGCCCCUGGAGCUGGCUCCCUGGCUUGAGAGAAAGGGCCACAGUCACCUUCGCCUGCCCAGGCCCAGUCGUCUUUCUCGGGAGUGGCGGAAUGUAGCUUUCUACCCUACGGGCUCCUGCGCCUCACAGUGCUGGCUUUGGGUUUCUUCUGGGUCUCUGUGCUAACUUAGGCUCCGACGUUUCUAACUUUGGCCAAGAAGGUUUUGUAUACGAAUUUAUAGUGUACUGUAUAUGUGUGUGUGUGUGUGUGUGUGUACGCGUGCACACCAGCACAUGCACUUUUUAAAACAACUAGGAAUCUUCUCAGCAAACACUAUUCCUUGUCUACUCCCUUCUCUUGAAGAUGGUCACUGAGUGGCUACGGAGACACAAACUUGGAGGAAAGCACCCUGGCCUUGCCAACAGUGGAGAGUGCCCCAGGGCCAACCCCGAUGAAUCUCUGCCAGAUGAGGUGCAGAAGGGGAUGGGGCAAAGGAAGCAGAUACUCCCCCACGUGACUUCCCCACAGGAGCCACUUAACCAGAGGAAGACAGUGAUAUGGUUUGGCUGUGUCCCACCCAAAUCUCAUCUUGAACUGUAGUUCUCGUAAUCCCCAUGUGCUGUGGGAGCAACACGGUGGGAGGUAAUUGAAUCACGGGGGUGGUUACCUCCAUGCUGUUCUGGUGAUAGUGAGUGAGUUCUCACGAGAUCUGAUGGUUUUAUAAGGGACUUUUCCCCUUUUGCUCAGCACUUUUCCUUGCUGCCGCUAUGUGAAGAAGGAUGUGUUUGCUUCCCCUUCCUCCAUGAUUAUAAGUUUCCUGAGGCCUGCCCAGCCCUGCAGAACUAUGCAAACGCGUCUCCAUGAGGAAGAGCAAGGCUCCUGCAGGAUGGAGAUCAGAUGGAUCAGGGAUCCCACAGACAGAACCUUUUGCCUGAUAUGAGCACCCUUGGGAGAGACCUCUUCACACAAAUGUUCCUUGCAAGGAAAACACUCCUGCCUCACUUUCUUCAACCCAGCCAUGACCUUUCUUGGGACAGGGUCACACCAGGGUUACAGCAUCUGCCUCCCAGCCUCCCAGCUGGCCAGCCCUUCUGCAGUGGCUCAGCCGCAGACCCCUCCUGCACACCACAGCCAAAAACGAUUCUGCCAGGACUACAGCAUCCCGUGAAACUGACGCUUAAUGAUGCAGAACUCCACGUUUCCUGUCGUCAACUUGUCAUCAUUUUCCUUCCCAGAACCCCCAGCACCUCUGACACCGACCUGGAUCUCUACUCCAGAAACUCAAAACCCAUUUUUGCCACACCGUCACGCUAGCUCUCCUUUGCUCCCCUAAUCCAGGUCCCCGUUUCUCUGCACCUGUGCCCACCACCGGGAAUCUCUCCUGUUAAGUCGCCUCCUCCAUCCCGCCUUCUCCUGACCCCGUUGGCCCAUGCGUCUUUGAACUUUUGCAGAAUUUGCAUCUGUAACAAAUUACUUGCUAUUUAAUUAUGUUCUGUCAUAUUAUUCCUGUUGAAUUUGGCUGAGAACCAUGCGCUCCUUGAAAGCAGAAACUGUCUUUGUUGUUCUGUGUCCUGAUUCAACCCACUAGCCCCAGAGCACGUCUGCAGGAAAGGCCUUCUAAGCUCAGGUCAUCAAGCUCCUCCCAACUGCACUCUUUUACUUCUGUUUUUCCAAGUCGAUCUUUUUUUAAAAAAAAACAAAAAACUUAAAUGAAUUCAUUAUUAAAAAAACUUUUUAUCACCUCCAGAAAUGGAAAACUGUAUCAUUUGCCAUCAGUAGAAUUUGGCUGUAAAAGCAAAUUCCAUGUAAACAGAACAAUGCUGUUGGGUCCUACUUCCUCAGUCUGAGACCUGCUCUUUCUCCCGUGGUCAUGGAGACUCCAAGUUCUAAAGACAUACUAGGAACAGAGAGCAGCUUUUAUUGUAUCCAGAAGAAGAGAGACAGAAAAAAACAGAACCACCUGAAAAGUGAACAACUUCCUCACUCUGUGAUUGGCAGUUGUUGAAUCCAGUGAACAGGCACCACCAAAGAUCACCCUCAGCCCACACCUCAGGACCCUCUGGUACAGACUCCAAAAUCUACCACUUACUGUGUGAGUUCCAAGUAACAAACUCUGAGUAUUAUCUUAUUUAACUCACUCUGGGGUGAGUUCUCUAAGGAAGAACCCAUUAUUAUCCCGCUUUCCAGAUGAGGAAACUGAACAUAGCAGGAGAAAGAAGCUUGACCACAACCACACAGUAGUAAGUGACUAAGUCAGGACCCAGUGAGGAUAAACAGUCAUCCUAAGUUUUAUAAGACAGAAAAUUUAAUUACAGGGACUUCCUAGAUGGUAGAAGAGCCAAAACGUCAGACAAGGGACAUUGAGGCAACCCUGGUGUCCACAGCAUCAGGAAGUGGCUACCACCUCUCAGAUGCACAAGGAAGGAGGCAGUUAUCAGAGCCCAGGAAUCAGACUCACUGAAGGGAAGCUAGAACCAGGGUGGGUCUCUGUGGCAGGAGCUGGCUUGUAGAAGGAAAGAGCCUCCAGGCAAGACAGCCCAACAAACAGAGUCAAGAAGCCCACCCAGACUCCUGUACACACCCAUGUCCCUCCAGGCUUCCCAUUGGUCCAACCCAGUCAGAAGCCAGAGACACAGGAACCCGGGGCUCAUAGCCUGCAGAGGCCAGACCCCCCAUGAUACAGGGCAGAGCAGGGGUGGAUGGGAGGAGGGGGAUGCUUUGAGACCACCAGGCACAGGCUCACCCAGGUGGUCUUAUUCUGGGGUCUUUUCACUCACACAAACCAUGUUGUAGUUGACUAUUGGAUUUCAUGAGAUAAGAGUUCAUGUGUGUUCUUCCCCAUUCCAAGAAGAGGUGGGCUCUUCCUACUUCCUAGCUACCUG